AACAAGGUUUCCGUAGGUGAACCUGCGGAAGGAUCAUUAACGAGUUCUGGGUCCUUCGGGGCCCGUCCUCCAACCCUUUGUCUACAAACCACGUUGCUUCGGCGGGCAGCCGGGGUCCGCCUCGCGCGGUUCCGGGUCACUGCCCGCCGGAGGAUUACCACAAACCCUUGCUUUAAAACAAUGCAGUCUGACCGAAUAUCAAAUAUUCUAAAACUUUCAACAACGGAUCUCUUGGUUCUGGCAUCGAUGAAGAACGCAGCGAAAUGCGAUAAGUAAUGUGAAUUGCAGAAUUCAGUGAAUCAUCGAAUCUUUGAACGCACAUUGCGCCCCUUGGUAUUCCGAGGGGCAUGCCUGUUCGAGCGUCAUUACACCCCUCAAGCACUGCUUGGUAUUGGGCCCCGUCCUCACCGGGCGGGCCUUAAAGACCUCGGCGGCGGCGCCGUAGCCUCAAGCGUAGUAAUUCUUUCUCGCUUUGGAGGCCGCGGCGUCUCCCGCCGGACGAACCUUUUUACUUUCUAUCAAGGUUGACCUCGGAUCAGGUAGGGAUACCCGCUGAACUUAAGCAUAUCAAUAAGCGGAGGA
rnacentral:rRNA from 1 species